AACCGGUGUCCCGUAGCGACUUCGUCGUGACUGCCUCAGAGAACGUCUAGUACUGCCUUUGCUUGAUUGACGGACGUCGAGGGCGAAACAGAGCGAAGGUGCUGCAAUGCGCUGCCUUGCCACAAGUGAAAAGUCCGUGAGGCCGGCCUGAGGGUGGCUCUGACAUGAGGCUCCCUUGUCGCCUAUGUCCAGGUGAUGCAAGCCAGAAAGACCAUUGCAUGAAGCAAUGAUGGGCGAUACAUGGAGAACGAAUGAAGCGAUUGUGCGAGCAGGCCAAGUCAGAAAGUUGCAAGGAAGCUAUUAUUGCAACGAAACCAGCCACCGCCGCCUCUAGCACCAUCCGGUUCCCGUGCUGCAAGUGCAGUCGUAACCCCUGUGGAGAGGGAUCCGACCCCAAGGAGAAAGUAGGGGCUGACGAGCUGCGUUUAAGUAUGCUUUGCUGGUGCUUUUAGCUAUUUCAAAAGACGCAAGAAGUGGCUCGACAUCACUUGGCCAUAGGCUGCUCUUCCUCAUCUUAAUGAGCAUAGCUCUUGCAACACUGGCUCCGCCAAAAAACUAGGCGUAAAGUUCAAGAUCAAAAUGUUACGAAGCCUCAGCGAGAGUGGAAAAGCGCGAGACUAAGAUCUUUGUUCCACACCUUGAGCUCAGCCAAAUAGCACAGAAGUAUGUUACACAGUAAUAAAUGUUUCCCAUGGAGAAAAAGUUCUCUAUUUUAUGCAUUUAUGAUUGGCGCCCACAAAUGACGGAUCGAUUGAAGGCGCUUAAAAAUCGCAAUUUCGGUUUCGGUUUCUGACUGCGUGAAGCGCCACCUGCUUCCUACUGCAAGCGUCAUGGCGACUUCCUGUUUACUUUUCUGGCUCCAACGCGUGCUUUCAACUUCCAAACUUCUGCGCUGUUCUUCGUGACAUUGUGAAAUCUAUAUGGAUAUAUACGUGGUGGGUCAUAUGUAGCACCAUCCGGAACAUCAAGCAUCAAUAUCUGAUAUGCGACACUUUGCCUACUGGUCGUCAGAAGCAAGCGCACUGGAAGCUAAGCAGGGGAAGGAUGGCACAGGGGAAAGAAGUUA